GUUCAGGGAGCCAAUUUACCAGCAAACCACUAGAUGAAAAUAUCAAUCAUGUCAUCUCUUACAGAAGAGAAAAUGCUCUUAUCUCCUCUGAAAGGAAAAGUACUAUCAUGCACUUCUCGAACCAGGGCUGAAGGGCUGGCAGUGGCUGUGCUCCUCUGUCUCGGGUCACAGCACGGCUUGUUGGAAGACCUCUUACCUGCAGCUAUAAUUCUCUCCAGGUGCUGUCCGCCCUUCUCCCCUUCCAAGUCCUGGGUGGUGGAACUGCAUCCCCCUAUCAUGAGACCCUGGUGCCUCUCAUCAUUUAUUUGUUCUCUUAACCUGUCCACACCUCCAUAAAUCUUCUCUUAAAUAAACUCUUUUCAGUCA